UAGGGAAUCUUCGGCAAUGGACGAAAGUCUGACCGAGCAACGCCGCGUGAGUGAAGAAGGUUUUCGGAUCGUAAAACUCUGUUGUUAGAGAAGAACAAGGACGUUAGUAACUGAACGUCCCCUGACGGUAUCUAACCAGAAAGCCACGGCUAACUACGUGCCAGCAGCCGCGGUAAUACGUAGGUGGCAAGCGUUGUCCGGAUUUAUUGGGCGUAAAGCGAGCGCAGGCGGUUUCUUAAGUCUGAUGUGAAAGCCCCCGGCUCAACCGGGGAGGGUCAUUGGAAACUGGGAGACUUGAGUGCAGAAGAGGAGAGUGGAAUUCCAUGUGUAGCGGUGAAAUGCGUAGAUAUAUGGAGGAACACCAGUGACGAAGGCAGCUCUCUGGUCUGUAACUGACGCUGAGGCUCGAAAGCGUGGGGAGCAAACAGG
rnacentral:rRNA from 1 species